CUGGGCCUCAGCGCNCNAAAGCGGUUAAACAAGUCNCCNGUGAAAGCCCCGGGCUCAACCUGGGAACUGCAUUUGAAACUGUUUAGCUAGAGUGUGCNAGAGGAGAGUGGAAUUUCAGGUGUAGCGGUGAAAUGCGUAGAUAUCUGAAGGAACACCAGUGGCGAAGGCGGCUCUCUGGACCAACACUGACGCUGAGGUGCGAAAGCGUGGGUAGCAAACGGGAUUAGAUACCCCGGUAGUCCACGCCGUAAACGAUGUCAACUAACUGUUGGGCGGGUUUCCGCUUAGUGGUGCAGCUAACGCAAUAAGUUGACCGCCUGGGGAGUACGGCCGCAAGGCUAAAACUCAAAUGAAUUGACGGGGGCCCGCACAAGCGGUGGAGCAUGUGGUUUAAUUCGAUGCAACGCGAAGAACCUUACC
rnacentral:rRNA from 1 species